rnacentral:rRNA from 1 species
CUUAACACAUGCAAGUCGAACGGUAACAGGAAGCAGCUUGCUGCUUCGCUGACGAGUGGCGGACGGGUGAGUAAUGUCUGGGAAACUGCCUGAUGGAGGGGGAUAACUACUGGAAACGGUAGCUAAUACCGCAUAACGUCGCAAGACCAAAGAGGGGGACCUUCGGGCCUCUUGCCAUCGGAUGUGCCCAGAUGGGAUUAGCUAGUAGGUGGGGUAACGGCUCACCUAGGCGACGAUCCCUAGCUGGUCUGAGAGGAUGACCAGCCACACUGGAACUGAGACACGGUCCAGACUCCUACGGGAGGCAGCAGUGGGGAAUAUUGCACAAUGGGCGCAAGCCUGAUGCAGCCAUGCCGCGUGUAUGAAGAAGGCCUUCGGGUUGUAAAGUACUUUCAGCGGGGAGGAAGGCGAUAAGGUUAAUAACCUUGUCGAUUGACGUUACCCGCAGAAGAAGCACCGGCUAACUCCGUGCCAGCAGCCGCGGUAAUACGGAGGGUGCAAGCGUUAAUCGGAAUUACUGGGCGUAAAGCGCACGCAGGCGGUCUGUCAAGUCGGAUGUGAAAUCCCCGGGCUCAACCUGGGAACUGCAUUCGAAACUGGCAGGCUAGAGUCUUGUAGAGGGGGGUAGAAUUCCAGGUGUAGCGGUGAAAUGCGUAGAGAUCUGGAGGAAUACCGGUGGCGAAGGCGGCCCCCUGGACAAAGACUGACGCUCAGGUGCGAAAGCG